AUUCCCCUAGUAACGGCGAGUGAACCGGGAAGAGCUCAAAUUUGAAAUCUGGCGUGCUCAGUGCGUCCGAGUUGUAAUCUAUAGAGGCGUUUUCCGUGCCGGACUGUGUCCAAGUCCCUUGGAACAGGGUAUCAAAGAGGGUGAUAAUCCCGUACUUGACACAAUGACCGGUGCUCUGUGAUACGUCUUCUACGAGUCGAGUUGUUUGGGAAUGCAGCUCAAAAUGGGUGGUGAGUUCCAUCUAAAGCUAAAUAUUGGCGAGAGACCGAUAGCGAACAAGUACCGUGAGGGAAAGAUGAAAAGCACUUUGGAAAGAGAGUUAAACAGUACGUGAAAUUGUUAAAAGGGAAACGAUUGAAGUCAGUCGUGACUGAGAGGCUCAGCCGGUUCUGCCGGUGUAUUCCCCUCAGUCGGGUCAACAUCAGUUUUGUUCGGUGGAUAAGGGCAGCUGGAAGGUAGCACCCUCGGGUGUGUUAUAGCCAGUUGUCGCAUACAUCGGAUGAGACUGAGGAAUGCAGCUCGCCUUUAUGGCCGGGGUUCGCCCACGUCCGAGCUUAGGAUGUUUGACAUAAUGGCUUUAAACGACCCCGUCUUGAAAC
rnacentral:rRNA from 1 species